UCACUUUCAUCAACACCAACAUGUUCUCUGUAUUUCUGUUGCUGCUGGCUGCUGCAUCCUGUGUGAAGUGUGAACAGCUGACACAACCAGCCUCUUUGACUGUGCAGCCAGGCCAGACUCUGAGCAUCAGCUGUCAGGUCUCUUAUUCUGUCACCAGCCAAGGCACAGGCUGGAUCCGACAACCAGCAGGAAAAGGACCUGAAUGGAUGGGUGCUAUUUGGUAUAAUGGAAACAAUUAUUAUGCUAGCAAUCUCCAAGGACGUAUAGAAAUCACCAGAGACACCAGUAAAAACAUUGUGUAUUUGCGACUGUCUGCCAUGAAGCCAGAAGAAUCUGCUGUGUAUUACUGUGCUAGAGUCACACAGUGA